CCCGCUGAACUUAAGCAUAUCAUUAAGCGGAGGAAAAGAAAAUAACAAUGAUCCCCCUAGUAACGGCGAGUGAAGCGGGGAGAGCUCAAGCCGAAAAUCUGGAAGCCUUGCGGUUUCCCGAAUUGUAGCCUCGAGAGGUGCUGUCAGUGUGUGACCUGGGUAUAAGUCUUUUGGAAAAAGGCAUCAUAGAGGGUGAGAAUCCCGUCUUUGACCCAGAGUACGCCACGUACGACACACUUUCACAGAGUCGAGUUGGUCGGGACUCCAGCUCUAAAUGGGUGGUAAGAUUCAUCUAAAGCUAAAUAUUGGCGGGAGACCGAUAGCGAACAAGUACCGUGAGGGAAAGAUGAAAAGAACUUUGAAAAGAGAGUUAAAAAGUACUUGAAAUUGUUAAGAGGAAAGCGAUGGAAACCAGUCGUGCCCGGUGCAAGUAAAGCUUUCGCUGGCGAAGGGGGUUCUCUCUGGGUGGUUAUACCCCGGUCUGGGCUUCGGACGUCUUGUGGGGGUGGACCUUGUGUUGGGUGGGUCAGCAUCAAUUUGGUGUUCGGGAGAAAGCUAGGGGGAAGCUGAGUUCGGCUUCGGCUGUUCUUGUAUAGCCCUUUGGCCCUACCGGGUGCUGGAUUGAGGAUUGACAACACGCGCCUUCUGGCUUGGAUCCCUGCUCCUGCGUCGUUAACGGUCUUGGACAGGAAACCUGUGCUUAUCGUGAAGCGGCGUACUGGGUAGGUGUAUUCAUAUGUGUGUUCGCGAUGCUGACGAAAUGGUUCUCAUCGACCCGUCUUGAAACACGG
rnacentral:rRNA from 1 species